rnacentral:lncRNA from 1 species
UUUCAUUGAACUAAACAAUGUUUAAUAGAUCAGACUUGCGCAAAUCACCUAAUACACUUUUCAUCAAACAAAACCCAUAUACCACCAAAGGCACAACUAUCAUUAUGCCAUCUAAACACAGCUUAUUCUAUACCUUCCGUACACUUAUCAUUUCUGAUUCUUGUUUCAAUAACACCAGUUAUGGCCUUUUUAGAUUUAACUCUCAGAUGCCAUGCCUACCGCACAGCUCUUGGACUUUGCCAUUACUCGUCUUCUUUUUAACAUCAUCAUCAAAUUCUCUCCCAUAAUAUUGGUACCAAUUUUUCUCCUUUUUUCUUUUUUACCCCAUAAAUUUCUUCUUGCUACUUGUAUUCUCUUUACAGUUUCUAAGUUUUUUCCUCCUAUUUCCUGACCUUGUUAUCGUUCUUUCUGCCAAUCCUCGUAGAUCUGGAAGACUUUUUUUGGCGUUCAGUUGAGGACUGGUUAACCAAGUUCUUCUCUACAGUCUGUCUACCCCAGAUCUUAGGGCCUCUAACAUAUAUGGGCUUACCAUAGCUCACGGCGCCGCCACUAUCAGGCUGAAUGGGGCCCAAAUGAGCACUGUCCGCCUCUCUAAUUCACCGACGGAAGCAUGACAUAUAACAAGUCCCCC